GAUGAACGCUGGCGGCGUGCUUAACACAUGCAAGUCGAACGGGAUCCUGCAAGCUUGCUUGCGGGUGAGAGUGGCGAACGGGUGAGUAAUGCGUGACCAACCUGCCCCAUGCUCCGGAAUAGCUCCUGGAAACGGGUGGUAAUGCCGGAUGUUCCCGCGCCCCGCAUGGGGUGCGGGGAAAGCUCUGGCGGCGUGGGAUGGGGUCGCGUCCUAUCAGCUUGUUGGCGGGGUGAGGGCCCACCAAGGCUUCGACGGGUAGCCGGCCUGAGAGGGCGACCGGCCACAUUGGGACUGAGAUACGGCCCAGACUCCUACGGGAGGCAGCAGUGGGGAAUAUUGCACAAUGGGCGCAAGCCUGAUGCAGCGACGCCGCGUGCGGGAUGGAGGCCUUCGGGUUGUAAACCGCUUUUGUUUGGGAGCAAGCCCUUCGGGGUGAGUGUACCUUUCGAAUAAGCACCGGCUAACUACGUGCCAGCAGCCGCAGUAAUAC
rnacentral:rRNA from 1 species